GAGUUUGAUCAUGGCUCAGAACGAACGUUGGCGGCGUGGAUUAGGCAUGCAAGUCGAACGAAUCCCACUCUUGUAGCAAUACCGGAGUGGGGGAAGUGGCGAAAGGGGCAGUAAUGCGUGGGUAACCUACCCCGGGGAUGGGCAUAGCCGUUCUAACGAGCGGGUAAUUCCCAGCGAUCCGGCCCGAGAGGACAUCCUCUUGCCGGGAAAUGAGUUUCGCCUCGGGAGGGGCUCACGUGCUAUUAGCUGGUUGGUGAGGUAACGGCUCACCAAGGCAAAGAUGGCUAGCGGGUGUGAGAGCACGACCCGCGCCACUGGCACUGAGACACUGGCCAGACACCUACGGGUGGCUGCAGUCGAGGAUCUUCGUCAAUGGGCGCAAGCCUGAACGAGCGACGCCGCGUGUGCGAUGAAGGCCUUCGGGUUGUAAAGCACUGUCGAGGGGGAUCAAGAGCCGCAAGGCUUUGAUUGAUCCCUGGAGGAAGCACGGGCUAAGUUCGUGCCAGCAGCCGCGGUAAGACGAACCGUGCGAACGUUGUUCGGAAUCACUGGGCUUAAAGGGCGCGUAG
rnacentral:rRNA from 1 species